rnacentral:tRNA from 4 species
GCCGACUUAGCUCAGUUGGUAGAGCAGCUGAUUUGUAAUCAGCAGGUCGCGAGUUCGAGUCUCGCAAUCGGCUCCA